AUUGAACGCUGGCGGCAUGCUUUACACAUGCAAGUCGAACGGUAACAGCACUUCGGUGGCCGACGAGUGGCGAACGGGUGAGUAAUACAUCGGAACGCGCCGAGUAGUGGGGGAUAACUACUCGAAAGAGUAGCUAAUACCACAUGAGAUCUAAGGCUGAAAGCAGGGGACCUCCGGGCCUUGCGCUACUAGACCGGCUGAUGGCAGAUUAGGUAGUUGGUGGGAUAAAAGCGUACCAAGGCGACGAUCUGUAGCUGGUCUGAGAGGACGACCAGCCACACUGGGACUGAGACACGGUCCAGACUCCUACGGGAGGCAGCAGUGGGGAAUAUUGGACAAUGGGCGCAAGCCUGAUCCAGCAAUGCCGCGUGCAGGAUGAAGGCCUUCGGGUUGUAAACUGCUUUUGUACGGAACGAAAAGCACUCUGCUAAUACAGGAGGGUCCUGACGGUACCGAAAGAAUAAGCACCGGCUAACUACGUG
rnacentral:rRNA from 1 species